UACGUAGGGUGCGAGCGUUAAUCGGAAUUACUGGGCGUAAAGCGUGCGCAGGCGGUUCUAUAAGACAGAUGUGAAAUCCCCGGGCUCAACCUGGGAAUGGCAUUUGUGACUGUAGAGCUAGAGUACGGUAGAGGGGGAUGGAAUUCCGCGUGUAGCAGUGAAAUGCGUAGAUAUGCGGAGGAACACCGACGGCGAAGGCAAUCCCCUGGACCUGUACUGACGCUCAUGCACGAAAGCGUGGGGAGCAAACAGG
rnacentral:rRNA from 1 species